rnacentral:rRNA from 1 species
UGUUUCGGCUAGGGGGCCAUCCCGGCUUACCAACCCGAUGCAAACUGCGAAUACCGGAGAAUGUUAUCACGGGAGACACACGGCGGGUGCUAACGUCCGUCGUGAAGAGGGAAACAACCCAGACCGCCAGCUAAGGUCCCAAAGUCAUGGUUAAGUGGGAAACGAUGUGGGAAGGCCCAGACAGCCAGGAUGUUGGCUUAGAAGCAGCCAUCAUUUAAAGAAAGCGUAAUAGCUCACUGGUCGAGUCGGCCUGCGCGGAAGAUGUAACGGGGCUAAACCAUGCACCGAAGCUGCGGCAGCGACACUGUGUGUUGUUGGGUAGGGGAGCGUUCUGUAAGCCUGUGAAGGUGGCCUGUGAGGGUUGCUGGAGGUAUCAGAAGUGCGAAUGCUGACAUAAGUAACGAUAAAGCGGGUGAAAAGCCCGCUCGCCGGAAGACCAAGGGUUCCUGUCCAACGUUAAUCGGGGCAGGGUGAGUCGACCCCUAAGGCGAGGCCGAAAGGCGUAGUCGAUGGGAAACGGGUUAAUAUUCCCGUACUUGGUGUUACUGCGAAGGGGGGACGGAGAAGGCUAUGUUGGCCGGGCGACGGUUGUCCCGGUUUAAGCGUGUAGGUGUGUGUUCCAGGUAAAUCCGGUUCACUUUAACACUGAGGCGUGACGACGAGGCACUACGGUGCUGAAGCAACAAAUGCCCUGCUUCCAGGAAAA